rnacentral:lncRNA from 1 species
CUGAUUGACUUGGCAGUUUCCUCGGAGCCAAAAGUGACUAUGAGGUCGACAUAGCCCCAAGGCUUAGUGGUUGCCCCGUUGAAUCCUGUGAGAUCUGAGCCCAAGUACGGGGUGAGGCGUGUCUCGUCCAGCUGUAAGGUCCUGAACAAACUGGCGUACAUAAUGUCGCAGGAGCUCCCCGGAUCGAUGAGGACCCGACGAAUGUCCAUGUUGGCCAUGUCUGCCCGGACGAGGAGGGGAAUUUGGAAAUUGGCUGACCCACCGGGCAGCUCCUCGCGAUAGAAGGCUAAAGGCAUUGACCGCCCC